UUCCCUUUCCCAACAGACUGUUUUAAUCUGUAACAGACGAAUACAGCUACCCUCUCCCCAAAAGUCAGCGCCUCCUCUGCUGCCACCAACCUUCUUUUCGGCCUCUGGUUUUCACCCUCGGAGACAGACAAGGCCCUUUCCCCAAUCUUAAACUCCCGAUCUCCGCGCCGGGGCUGUACAAUUCUCUGCAGAUCCGGCAGCUGACUGUUUUCCUACCUUGGGGCGGGGCUGCGCACGCAAGUCCCAGCGGGGCCCAGCCGGGUCUCUCAGGACGGAGGAUAGAGGACGUCUCCGAUCACGACAAGUAGACGCUGCAGGACUCACGUGCGAUCGAUGGGCUGGCUGGCUGGGGAGAGGAAGGGGAGACACGUCAGCGCCGGCAGCCGAGAGGGACGGAUCUCUGUCUCUUUUAAAAAAAACCCUCCCCGUGGGCGUCUAAACUCCGGGGCUGGAAGAGGCGCGCACGGUUGCAACAGCGCCUGAAGCUCAGAUUUUAGGCACUAGAUGAUCAGAGGCACAAUCCUAGUUCGGAAAAAAUGGCUUCCAUGUAUUUCCCAUGCCAGAGCCCUUACAAGCAGACAUUCUGCAGUUUAUUACAGAAGAUGUAUAUCUUAGCAGCAUGGGAAAAGGCAUAGAAGCAACCAAGGAAAGAAGAGGAAGAAUUUGACAAAUCCAAAUGAUUGACCUUAAUUGGAACAGCAAAGGAUGCAAACAAGAUUUAAUAAAUGGAUUUAUCAACUAAACCCAAUCAACUAAGGCAUGGAUGGGGAAGCUGGGCCCUCCAGAUGGAUUACAACUCCCAUCAUAAGAAUUUAAGAAGAGUCCUGUUUGAUCAGGCCAGUGGCCCAUCUGGUCCAACAUCCUCUUCACACAGUGGCCAACCAGAUGCCUGUGGGAAGCCUGCAAGCAAGACCUGAGGGCAAAAAGCACUCUCCCCUCCUACAGUUUUCAGCAACUGGUAUUCAGAAGCAUAUUGCCUCCGACUAUGGAGGCAGAGCAUAGCCAUCAUGGCUAGUAGCCAUGGAUAGCCUUAUCUUCCAUGAAUUUGUUUAAUCCUCUUUUAAAGCCAUCAAAGUUGGUGGCCAUCAGCCGCAGUCAGCAUUUCCAACAGUUAGGGAUGAUGAGAAUUGGAGUCCAACAACAUCUAGAGGCCCACAUGUUUCUCAGCCCUCCUGUAUACACUUCUGCUAGUGCAAUACCAAAGAAUCUCACAAGUAGGCCUCAUUUUGGCCUAACAAGCGAUCAUUACAGGGUAAAUUGAUGGCAAGAAUUUACAUUAUCUGAGCAGUGAGAUGCUUGCUUCCUUGUGAACUCUUGAAGUUCCCUUAUACUGAGUGAGACUGUAGAUCCUUCUAGCCUAGUAUUGUCCCAAGGCUUCAGGCACAAAUCUUUUGCUAGAUCAGAGACCCGCUAACUAUAUAUGCCAAGAUCCGGGGAUUCCGUCAAUGUUGUUGUUACUAAUGUUGCUGCUGCUGCUGCUGCUGCUGCUGCUACUGCUACCGCUACCACCAUCACCCACCCACCCUUCACCAUAAAGUCAUAGGGCAGGUCACAAUUUAAAAUGCAACAUUAAAAACAGUUUAAAACAAAUUAAAAUCACAAGAAUAGAGUGGAUCCCAAUAUAUCUAUAUCUAGAUAGAUAUCUAGAUAAGUGUCAAAGGUCAGGAUAAAGAGGUGCGUCCAGCAUACAACAAAAACUAUAAUGAAGGUUCCAGAUGCACCUCUGUGGAAAGGGGCUGCCACAGAGAAUGCCCUGAGGAUGGUGGAUCUAUUAAGAGAGCCCUCUCUGCUUAUCUUAACACCCAAGAGAGUCUGUGGGGAAGGAGGCCGUCUUUUAGAUAUUUGGGGCUUAAGUCAUUUAGGACUUUAAACAUUAAUGUGAACACCUUAAAUUGGGCCUGGAAAUGAACCGGCAACCAAUGCAGCUGUUUUAAAACAGGGGUUAUAUGAAUUCUAAAUGGAACCCCAACCAGUAAUCUGGCCGCUGCAUUACCCACUAGGCUGUGGGUACUCAAAAAAGACACAGCAAUCUUCAAAGAAGCACAGAAAAGGGCAACCAAAAUGUUUGGGGUUGGAACAACAUUCUUAAGGAGAAAAGGCUAAAGUGUUUGGGACUUUUUAGUUCAGAGUGUGGACAAAGUGGUUAGAAG